GAUGAACGCUGGCGGCGUGCCUAAUACAUGCAAGUCGAGCGAACAGACAAGGAGCUUGCUCCUCUGACGUUAGCGGCGGACGGGUGAGUAACACGUGGAUAACCUACCUAUACGACUGGGAUCACUUCGAGAAACCGGAGCUAAUACCGGAUAACAUGUUGAACCGCAUGGUUCAACAGUGAAAGACGGUCUUGCUGUCCCUUAUAGAUGGAUCCGCGCCGCAUUAGCUAGUUGGUAAGGUAACGGCUUACCAAGGCAACGAUGCGUAGCCGACCUGAGAGGGUGAUCGCCCACACUGGAACUGAGACACGGUCCAGACUCCUACGGGAGGCAGCAGUAGGGAAGCGUCCGCAAUGGGCGAAAUCCUGACGGAGCAACGCCGCGUGAGUGAAGAAGGUCUUCGGAUCGUAAAACUCUGUUAUUAGGGAAGAACAAAUGUGUAAGUAACUAUGCACGUCUUGACGGUACCUAAUCAGAAAGCCACGGCUAACUACGUG
rnacentral:rRNA from 1 species